rnacentral:rRNA from 1 species
UACGGAGGGAGCGAGCGUUGUUCGGAAUUACUGGGCGUAAAGCGUGCGCAGGCGGAUUUCCAAGUCAGGAGUGAAAUCCCCGGGCUUAACCCGGGAAUUGCUUUUGAAACUGGAUGUCUUGAGUCUCGGAGAGGUUGGCGGAAUUCCCAGUGUAGCAGUGAAAUGCGUAGAUAUUGGGAGGAACACCAGUGGCGUAAGCGGCCAACUGGACGAGUACUGACGCUCAUGCACGAAAGUGUGGGGAUCAAACAGG